rnacentral:lncRNA from 1 species
UAUCGCGUUGGAAAACCACCUAUAAAUAGGAAUUCGCCUAGGUUCAAUCAAACAGUUGCUUGGAGCCUCAGAGAAUCCUUAACUCUCACGCAUCGCAGGUGAAUCAAGUUGCAGAAAGCGUCAUGAAGAACAAGCUGUUUAGUGCGACAUGUAUGGCCAGCAUACUAUUUGCCAUCCUUCUCAUCCAAUUUUCGAUAACUUUGUCGAAUGCUGAACCUGUUGUGAGCGGCGUGGUGUCACAGGAGGACCGGAUGGGCAAAGGCAACAUUCCAGCUGCCAGAUCCUUUAUCAACGUGCCGAGGCCAACUACCACCACACCAAAAUGUCCACCUGACCGUCCACAAUUUCUCAGUGGACAUUGCAGGGCAGUUUUUUAACUCGCGAUUAUCCAAUUAAUAGGUUUCUACGUUUCAAGAUUCCGCGAAAUCAAUUACAUUUGUCUCUGUCUCUGUUUGCCUUUCGCCGCUUCGUGAAUGAUACGCAGUGAACGUUACUCACUUGCUUAUUGAUUGUGCAUAUUUAUGUAAUAGUAUAUUUAUAUAUAUAUAUGUAGUCUGUAAUAAAGGGAGUAAAGCUUGCA